GACGAACGCUGGCGGCGUGCUUAACACAUGCAAGUCGAACGGAAAGGCCCUGCUUUUGUGGGGUGCUCGAGUGGCGAACGGGUGAGUAACACGUGAGUAACCUGCCCUUGACUUUGGGAUAACUUCAGGAAACUGGGGCUAAUACCGGAUAGGAGCUCCUGCUGCAUGGUGGGGGUUGGAAAGUUUCGGCGGUUGGGGAUGGACUCGCGGCUUAUCAGCUGGUUGGUGGGGUAGUGGCUUACCAAGGCUUUGACGGGUAGCCGGCCUGGGAGGGUGACCGGCCACAUUGGGACUGAGAUACGGCCCAGACUCCUACGGGAGGCAGCAGUGGGGAAUAUUGCACAAUGGGCGGAAGCCUGAUGCAGCAACGCCGCGUGCGGGAUGACGGCCUUCGGGUUGUAAACCGCUUUCGCCUGUGACGAAGCGUGAGUGACGGUAAUGGGUAAAGAAGCACCGGCUAACUACGUG
rnacentral:rRNA from 1 species